rnacentral:rRNA from 1 species
AACGAACGCUGGCGGCAUGCCUAACACAUGCAAGUCGAACGAGACCUUCGGGUCUAGUGGCGCAUGGGUGCGUAACGCGUGGGAACCUGCCCUUAGGUUCGGAAUAACUCCCCGAAAGGGGUGCUAAUACCGGAUAAUGUCUUCGGACCAAAGAUUUAUCGCCUUUGGAUGGGCCUGCGUUGGAUUAGCUGGUUGGUAGGGUAAAAGCCAACCAAGGCGACGAUCCAUAGCUGGUUUGAGAGGAUGAUCAGCCACACUGGGACUGAGACACGGCCCAGACUCCUACGGGAGGCAGCAGUGGGGAAUAUUGGACAAUGGGCGAAAGCCUGAUCCAGCAAUGCCGCGUGAGUGAUGAAGGCCUUAGGGUUGUAAAGCUCUUUUACCCGGGAUGAUAAUGACAGUACCGGGAGAAUAAGCUCCGGCUAACUCCGUG